rnacentral:ncRNA from 1 species
GUCUGAAAAAGGCAAACCCCGCGAAAGCGGGGGACGCAAAGUCAUCGGUCUAAAGGGUUCAUACCCCAUGACGGCAGGACUGCCAGG